rnacentral:rRNA from 1 species
UACAGAGGUCUCAAGCGUUGUUCGGAUUCAUUGGGCGUAAAGGGUGCGUAGGCGGCGCGGUCAGUCGGGUGUGAAAUCUCGGAGCUUAACUCCGAAACUGCAUUCGAUACUGCCGUGCUUGAGGACUGGAGAGGAGACUGGAAUUUACGGUGUAGCGGUGAAAUGCGUAGAUAUCGUAAGGAAGACCAGUGGCGAAGGCGGGUCUCUGGACAGUUCCUGACGCUGAGGCACGAAGGUCAGGGGAGCAAACGGG